CAGCAGUAGGGAAUCUUCCGCAAUGGACGAAAGUCUGACGGAGCAACGCCGCGUGAGUGAUGAAGGCCUUCGGGUCGUAAAACUCUGUUGUUAGGGAAGAACAAGUACCGGAGUAACUGCCGGUACCUUGACGGUACCUAACCAGAAAGCCACGGCUAACUACGUGCCAGCAG
rnacentral:rRNA from 1 species